AAGGCUCAGAUAACCCCCAAAGGCUCUAGCACUGUGCUGAAUAUAUAGACAGAAGUCUUCUUGCUUAUUCCAAAGUCUUAAAUUUCCCUUAUAAGUACUACUUGAAUGCCAUUUUUAAACUGUCACAGCUAUUUCUGUAAUUCUAUAAGUCAAGCUGAGGAUUCUGUUUUAAAGGAAAUGUUCAUCAUUCAUGUGGAUAAUAGUCAAGGCUUUUUGAUAAUUGUCAAAGUAUCAAUGACAGUGAGUAGGCAGAAAUGAUUAGUUCCUGUUCUGAUACUUACUAGAUAUACUUACAGUUUGCAAAAACUUAGGCAAGGAUAAAGAGAGAGAAAAAUAUUUUGUCAAUCAUUACUUUAAAAGUAAUGUUCAGUAGAAGAAACAUCCUGAUAGUCAUCAACAGCAAUGUCAAUAAAUAUUUUUAUAUGUGCUGUAAAAUUUCCGGGUAGAACGGAGAUCAAUAGAAGGAUUUUCUACUGAGAGAAAAUGUAGCAAGCAGCUCAAACUUUAUUGGAAACAUUAUAAAGAGACCUAGCUCAUCCAAUUGUAAUUCCUGAAAUACUUUUUGCAUUCUAAGACAAACAAAAAUAUAAUGAAUUAAAUGCUAAUGGUAACCAACAUAUUAACUGUGGAUCAACAUAUUGAUAUAAUAGGGUUUUUCUUGAAUAUAUUAUGCAUUACAUAUGCUGAAGUUCCUUAUAUAUAGCAGAAAGGAACCCAACCUGUUUUUACAAUUUUAAAUUAUCACAUCUUUGUGUAAAUGUUAUAGCAUUCAACUGGGGAGGGGGGCUGUCUUUAGAAUUUAUUUGGUACCAAGUCUUUUGGUCAAAAGUAACACCCCAAAUUAAGACACCAGAAAGUAACUGACUUUCUUAAAAACAUUACUUACUAAUAUGACAGAAUUAUAUUGCCCCAAAAUAGAAGGAUUUCCUUAUAUACUUUUCCAAAGAAAGCUGGGUAACUCUGCUUCCAGCUAUUAUAGAAAACAUACUUCCGAAUAUUUCUCUUUCCAAAAUCAAAUAUCAAAUGCAUGCAACAAUAGUUUGACAACAGCAGAGAGUCCUGAUGGCAGGCAGGACUUGAGAAGCAGCAGUCCUGCAGAAAAGGUAAGCACAUGAGGUGAACUUACUUACUGUGCUAUUCCCCCUCAAGGCAUCUGCAGGUUUGUAGCAGAAACUGAUGCUAAACAUAAAGACACACCUGGCUUGCAGCACUCUUACUGGACUGAAGAGACAGAAUUAAGUAGUUGAGAGCAGCCAAUGGGGUUAAGACGAGAAAGAGGAGGAAAUACAUAAAAGUGAUCUUGGAAUUCUGCACACAAUUUUCCUGAAAUGAGUUCACCAUCUCCAAAACUGCACAUACACAGAGCAAGACUCCCAGAAACCUAGCUGACACAGCAGCAUGCUAAAGAGCUAGCCAAAAGCUUUAGUGCUAAAAAAACAAACAAACAAACAAACAAAAACAAAAGCUUUAGUGCUAUGGUGGUACUAAGGACAUAUAGAUUAUAAUUCAGGGAUCACAAAAGUAGAAGGGAUGUAGGAAAUAAUCCCAUGAUACAUUUGAGAGCACAGAAAGGCUAGACCCUAGAAAUAGGGCUAUGUCCUAGGAAUAAAGGCAAAUUAGAACUAGACCUGUCCCAUCAGAGUAGAAAAUCCACUCUUGAUCAGAUCAAGGUGAUUUUCCAUAUAUCUCGCUUCCAGUCAAAAUGAAAUUACAUUACCUUUGGGGAAGUACAUCAUCAUCUAAGACCUCCAUGAUUUUUUGUUCAGGAUGUCCAAUACUCAUCACAUACUAAUAGGGAAAAUAAGAAAUUGGAACAUAUAACAAAAAAUUAGGAAAUAUUUGAGAAUAGAAAUAGAACUAAAGAUGUGUGACCCAGAUAUUGGAAUUCAUGUUGGAGACUUUAAAAUAACAACAUUUAACAGCUACAUAUUCAGGAAUGAAACUGGAUGGCUUUCUUACACCAUAUACAAAAAUAAACUCAGAAUGAAUUAAAGACCUAAAUGUGAGACCUGAAACCAUAAAACUCCUAGAAGAAAACAUAAGCAGUAAUUUCUUUGACAUUGGUUGUAGAAACAUAUUUCUAGAUAUGUCUCCUUGGGCAACACAAUCAAAAGCAAAGUUAAACUAUUGGACUACAUCGAAAUAUAAAGGUUUUGCACAGCGAAACAAACCAUCAACAAAACAAGGUAAUCUACCAAAUGGAAGAAGAUAUUUGCAUAUUGUAUAUCUGAUAAGGGGUUAAUAUCCAAA
rnacentral:lncRNA from 1 species